GAGUUAGAUGUUAGAUGUAUCUAGUAAAUUAUUUAUGGCUCUCUUUCUCUGGCCCAGUAUAGCAUGCUUUAGCAUCACCGUGGCAUGCCGAACUGCAUCAAGUAUUAAUACUAAAACAACACAAUACUGCAGGUCAUUUGUCAUAAAUAUUUUUUGAUCUGCCCCCGUUUUCUACGGACCGGUUUGGGGACUGAAAAAGAUUGUUUUAAGGGUUAAAAGAAACCAACAUUGACAAGUGCCCCAAAAGACAUAUAUGUUUACAUUCAAGUGACAUAGAAAGCCCUCUGACUCUUGUCUGUCGGGAGAAAAGCAGUAGUGUGAUGUUAUUAUAAAGCCACGAAGUCCGCAGAGGCAGGACGUCGCGGUGGACGGACGAGUCAAGGAAGCAACAAAACACCGUUUGCUUCCUGUUCCCUGACAGUCAACGAUGGUUUCUUUUAACCGUGACCACGAUCGUUCCCUGACCUUAACCGAGUGGUUAUUGUUGUAACCACGAGGACGAAGGUCCCCUUACCUUAAUGAAGCAGCAAUUUUAACUUAAACCACAAUGUUUCCUUAAACCUAACAGAGUUGUUCUUGUGCCUAAAAAUAACCAAACCUUAACCACAGCAGUGUAAGAUCAGAAAACAGUUUUAUUUUUGAAACUGCGACGUUGUCCUGUCGACCGUGGCCUCAGAUCAGAAACCUGUGUUGUUCUGGACCAACGACGUGUUUUGAGAGAGGACAGUCAUUAUUCACGUAGAGGUCAAGAGGUCAAUUGUCAGGAAAAGGAAAAUGUGGUUUGUUUUAAGCAUUUGAACCAAAGUCAGCCAAAGCUGUUUUGUUUCUGGCGAGGACAUUCUUUGAGACGUGAUCAUACGUCUUUCAGCUAUGACCUAAAACCACACUGACCCGUGACAUUAUGGUCCUGCUUGCACGGUCAAAUCAUAAUGGUCUCUGCCUUCAAACAAGCUGAUUCAGCUGAUUAACACCAUGUUUGGUCAUUCAGCUUCAUCGCUCCGGUGUGAAGUUACGUCUGGUUAGAUGAAGAGGCGACGCUCACUGCUGUUUGUGCGAACCAGCAACCCUCUCCCUCGUGCUCAAGUCUCCAUAUCGGUCCUCAGUGGAGCCUUCAGAGUGUGACUGACCGAUUCCUCCACUCAUUGUUCCACCUCCUCCUCUGCAUUCAUCUCUACGCUACUGGCAAGGAAAAAAGUCCAGGAUGCAGCCUGACUGUCAGGUUGUGUCGACCUGCAUUUGUUCACGUAAACAAGCGCUCACACCCAGGUGCAGUGCGUUGAGCUCUCGGGGCCACCUUCCUUUUCAGGGUCAUGUUUGGCUGGAAUUCAUCACCAAAAGGCAAGGAAACACUCAAGAAAUACAAACAUCAAAAGGCAGUAACUUGCACACAUUCACACCUAUCUGUAAUUUUAGAGACUUCAUUCACCUGUUCGGACAGGCGAAAAACAACACACGCAAGGAGAAGGUGCAAACUCCUCAAGCAAAGAGCUGCAGGUCAAAGUGGGGUCUUUGUCUUUCUCCUCAUCCCAGUUUCAAACACGAAAACAGCGUUCUGGCUGAGCAUGACCAGCUGAACUGCGGAGAAGAAGCUUUGCUGGAAAAAACAACGAUGGCACAUUUAAUGUAGAUCAUUACAUUUGUGCAAACGUUGGCAUCUGAAGACCCAAGCUACUCAGCUCUGUGUGUGUGUACUGUGACAGAGAUAACUGGCUUGAGAAACCUGCAGAGACGCCGUUUAUCAGUCUGGUUUCAUUCUCGGCUACACUCUGCUAUAUCAGACCUCGCUGCGGACGACCUCAAAGACAAAGAAGCUGGCAGGAAGAGGGACGGAGUUUUUACCUUUUUGCUUUCAGCGGGCAAGCACGACUAUGGAGGCCUGGAAGAAGAAUGCAGAAUGUGCUUGGCAAGUUUUCAAGGAAAGAAAAAGUUAGGCUAGUUCUUGAGUAUGUGGGAAAAGGCAGAAAAGACUGUGCGAGAAGAUGCUUUUGUUUCACGGUUGCAGGAUUUCAACAUCCCAU